CACCCGAAACCAACGUGUAAGAAUUCGACUUUAGCGUUGUGCCUUUUGACUUUCAAACUACCCAGUUAGCGUUUUUGCCAAAAAGCACUUUCCUCAGCAUUUUUCAAGAGCUAGCUAUUGUAUAUCACUUCACUCUGUUUAUUUUCCCAUUCAACGAAUCCCCACUCCUCUUUUUUUCCCCCCGUCUCCCGCAGCAGCAGCAGCAGCUGCUACUCGGCUGACGUAAGGAAAAGAAAAAUCGUCGGGAUCCGACAUCCUCCCCGGGGGGAGUCCCGCUUCGGGAGAAGAAGAUUUUGUUGUUGUUGUUGUUGUUGCACGCGGAAGAAGAAGCGAAGGGGCUUAUCCUCACGAGGGCCGCGGGGGUGCCGGAGCCUAUCCCAGCUAAAGGAGGACGACACCCUGAACUGGUGAAAAACGCGGCAACCUCUGGACGACUUCACGCUGGCCCGCGCACGGCGCCGACAUUUACGAGGGAGAAGCGGCGCGUGACGACGCACGAACGCAUCCCGCCUGAAUCAUCGGUUGGAAAAUGGCUGCAGACCGACUUGUGAAUGCUGUAUAUGAAGAUGAAAAUGAACAUUUCCAAUUUUUACUCCAAGCUUUGCAAUGUGCCACAAGCACACAGAUGAUCUUAGCCAAAAUUGCAAGACUGAAUAAAGCCGCCCCAAAAAAUAUUUUUUCCCCCCUGUAAAAGUAAAGUAAAAAAAUCCAAUGAUUUAAAAAUAUAAAAAAACAAUGAUGUUAUUGUCUUUAAUAGUAUUUUCCUGAGAAACAUCUUUUGAACAUUUUUUAAUUCAUUUUAUUACCAAAAAUGUUACGUAUUUUGUUUUGUAAAAAAAAAAAAAAUAAGAAUCGUUGACCAAAAAUCUGCUUUUUGAAAAUAAA